rnacentral:rRNA from 1 species
UACGAAGGGGGCAAGCGUUGUUCGGAAUUACUGGGCGUAAAGGGCGCGUAGGCGGCCGAUCAAGUCAGGCGUGAAAUUCCCGGGCUCAACCUGGGGGCUGCGCUUGAUACUGAUUGGCUUGAAUUCGGGAGAGGAAUGCGGAAUUCCAGGUGUAGCGGUGAAAUGCGUAGAUAUCUGGAGGAACACCGGUGGCGAAGGCGGCAUUCUGGACCGACAUUGACGCUGAGGCGCGAAAGCCAGGGGAGCAAACGGG